rnacentral:rRNA from 1 species
UACCAGCUCUCCGAGUGGUAGGGAUGAUUAUUGGGCUUAAAGCGUCCGUAGCCGGCUUAGCAAGUCUCCUGUUAAAUUCAGCGACCUAAUCGUUGAGCCGCGGGAGAUACUACUAGGCUAGGAGGCGGGAGAGGUCGACGGUACUUCUGGGGUAGGGGUGAAAUCCUAUAAUCCCGGGAGGACCACCAGUGGCGAAGGCUGUCGACUAGAACGCGCUCGACGGUGAGGGACGAAAGCUGGGGGAGCGAACCGGAUUAGAUACCCGGGUAGUCCCAGCUGUAAACGAUGCGGGCUAGGUGUUGGGGUGGCUACGUGCCACUUCAGUGCCGCAGGGAAGCCAUUAAGCCCGCCGCCUGGGGAGUACGGCCGCAAGGCUGAAACUUAAAGGAAUUGGCGGGGGAGCACCACAAGGCGUGAAGCUUGCGGUUC